rnacentral:rRNA from 1 species
UGGGGAAUAUUGGACAAUGGGCGCAAGCCUGAUCCAGCCAUGCCGCGUGAGUGAUGAAGGCCUUAGGGUUGUAAAGCUCUUUCGCUGGGGAAGAUAAUGACGGUACCCAGAGAAGAAGCCCCGGCCAACUUCGUGCCAGCAGCCGCGGUAAUACGAAGGGGGCUAGCGUUGCUCGGAAUCACUGGGCGUAAAGCGCACGUAGGCGGAUUUCUAAGUCAGGGGUGAAAUCCCGGAGCUCAACUCCGGAACUGCCUUUGAUACUGGAAAUCUUGAGUCCGGGAGAGGUGAGUGGAACUCCGAGUGUAGAGGUGAAAUUCGUAGAUAUUCGGAAGAACACCAGUGGCGAAGGCGGCUCACUGGCCCGGUACUGACGCUGAGGUGCGAAAGCGUGGGGAGCAAACAGGAUUAGAUACCCCUGUAGUCC